AGCCAGGAUGGUCUCGAUCUCCUGACCUCGUGAUCCACCCGUCUCGGCCUCCCAAAGUGCUGGGAUUACAGGCUUGAGCCACCGCGCCCGGCCGGUGUUGCAUUUUUAAUUCCCACCGGCUCUUUUGUAUUCUCUAUGCCUUUGCUUUAAAAGCAUGCGGCUCUCUGAGGGGUCCUGUCUCCCCACCCCAGCCUUCUCCAGGACUCCUGGGUGCUGAGAACCUAUGAGAAGGAGCUGAGGUCUCCCAUUGAAGGCAGAGUAUCGUACGCACGUGCCUGUUCCAUGUCAGCGCAGGGUC